rnacentral:rRNA from 1 species
CCUACGGGUGGCAGCAGUAGGGAAUCUUCCACAAUGGACGAAAGUCUGAUGGAGCAACGCCGCGUGAGUGAAGAAGGGUUUCGGCUCGUAAAGCUCUGUUGGUAGUGAAGACAGAUAGAGGUAGUAACUUGCCUUUAUUUGACGGUAAUUACUUAGAAAGUCACGGCUAACUACGUGCCAGCAGCCGCGGUAAUACGUAGGGGGCAAGCGUUGUUCGGAGUGAUUGGGAGUAAAGCGAGUGCAGGCGGCUCUAUAAGUCUGAUGUGAAACGCUUCGGCUCAACCCGGGAAUUGCAUCAGAAACUGUUGAACUUGAGUGCAGAAGAGGAGAGUGGAACUCCAUGUGUAGCGGUGGAAUGCGUAGAUAUAUGGAAGAACACCAGUGGCGACGGCGGCUUUCUGGUCUGCAACUGACGCUGAGGCUCGAAAGCAUGGGUAGCGAACAGGAUUAGAUACCCUGGUAGUC